rnacentral:rRNA from 1 species
GACGAACGCUGGCGGCGUGCUUAACACAUGCAAGUCGAGCGGUAAGGCCCUUUCGGGGGUACACGAGCGGCGAACGGGUGAGUAACACGUGGGUGACCUGCCCUUAGCUCUGGGAUAAGCCUGGGAAACUGGGUCUAAUACCGGAUAUGACUCCAUGACGCAUGUUGUGGGGUGGAAAGCCUUGUGCGGCUAGGGGAUGGGCCCGCGGCCUAUCAGCUUGUUGGUGGGGUGAUGGCCUACCAAGGCGACGACGGGUAGCCGGCCUGAGAGGGCGACCGGCCACACUGGGACUGAGACACGGCCCAGACUCCUACGGGAGGCAGCAGUGGGAAUCUUGCGCAAUGGGCGAAAGCCUGACGCAGCGACGCCGCGUGA